CAGCAGCCGCGGUAAUGCGAAGGGUGCAAGCGUUAAUCGGAAUUACUGGGCGUAAAGCGUGCGUAGGCGGUGAGUUAAGUCUGCUGUGAAAUCCCCGGGCUCAACCUGGGAAUGGCAAUGGAUACUGGCAAGCUAGAGUGUGUCAGAGGAUGGUGGAAUUCCCGGUGUAGCGGUGAAAUGCGUAGAGAUCGGGAGGAACAUCAGUGGCGAAGGCGGCCAUCUGGGACAACACUGACGCUGAGGCACGAAAGCGUGGGGAGCAAACAGGAUUAGAUACCCCAGUAGUCCCUGUCUCUUAUAA
rnacentral:rRNA from 1 species